AUCAACAAGGAGUGUAUCUACUUUUAUCAAAGAUGGAAUUCUUUCUUUCCUACUUUAGUCUUUGAUGAUUUUAGGGACACUGACUUUUAAUAACCUAAUAACCUAUUUCAAUUAUUUCAUCUUCAUUUCUUCUUUCAUCCAGUUCAGGUCUGAUAAACAGAAACCUCAAAAUCUUUUGGUUCAAAAGUUAUAUGCAAACUAAUCCUAAUUCCUUUUCUUGCACAUUAGUUACCGACAAAAUUCGUAGCCCCUUAAGCCACCUAAAUAAUAGUUUUUAAGUGAAACUAUUGUCUUUUUUAACAUAGCACAAGCCCUCUUGUUUGGGGAUAACCAUGGUAAUAAGUAAUUUCAAAUAUUGCAUGCUGCUGUCACCUGUAAAUUAUAUCUGAUCUGACUUGCCAUCUAUACUUAUUUUCAGCUCUUUCUGCAAGCCUUGAUGAUAUUCUAGGAAUAGUAUCUGUCUUGAAGAACACGUAGUAGUUAACUUUUGUAAAUCUGUGCUUUAUUGGAAGGAUGGAUGCUACUUGAAAGCAAGUCUUGACUCAUCAAGAUGACAAGUGUGUAUGAGUGUUAAAAUUUCUUCACUUGUGAUUGUCAUAGCUUUACAUAUCUACAAGAGGUUUAUUGAUGUAUUUAUUAGUGAUUGCUUUUAUAACCAUUUGGAGGUUACCAAACUAUCAAUUAAGGUGAACAGAAUUGGCUGCAAUUAUAUACAGUCAACCCCGCAUGGCUGAAUCCAUCAUCCUUUAUCACCAUGUCAUAACCGGUAGAGGCUAUUGGUAAGUUUAUGUUACCAUUUGUUGAGUUUGAUUGCACAACUGAUUAGUUCAUGGACUUCAAUCAAAUUUUGAUUAUAUUCAUACAUACAUAUAUGUGAUUGAUUUGUUGAAAUAUGUAUAAUAUUAUGCAUAUAAAGUUUUUGUUAGUAAAAUCUACUCUUCAGAUAGCUCAUGGUCAAGACUAAUCAUCCUCAUAAGAUGGGUUUGGACAUCUUUUGUAAAGAUGUUGACUGCGUAGAUCACGCUCAUGGACGAGCUUGGCUAUCCACAUCUAUCAGCUCAUUCAUGAUUAUGAAAAGCCGGACGAAUUAACCAGAGUGAAUGUCUUCCAUGUCUAGAGACUUGCUACAAAUAUUUUACGAGUUCCAGCAUGGAAACACUGAAUAUUGUAUUGGGGGAGAAAACUCAAAAAUUUGAGAUAUACUACCAAUAAAGAAUAUUAAUGAAGAACAGGAGAUGCAUUUUUGGCUUCUGAAUUUUCGACAUUGGGUUUGGUUUUAGUAGAAUAAUCAAGACCUACUCUCAUUUGAUUAUUCCUCCAUGAUAACGAUUAAUGAGAGUGAGACAUCAUGGCAGAAACCACAAAUACCACAAAUGUUACAUCAAGCUUCAUCAUAGUUUGUGGAUAAGUAUUUUGUAAUCAAGAUUUGUAGUGAUCAGCUGUUAACAACAAUGUGAUUGUCAUGCCUAGCUAUCACUGUGACUAAACGCUAAAAAUACUGCUUAUUUUUAAGAUGAUAUUAAUUAUUUUGUGAAUUGUCUUUCAUUCUGUGAUACUAUAAAAAGGUGCUCAAGGCUCUCUUAACAAAACCACAAGAACAUGUCUAGAGGCUUUCUACGAGUAAUAUAUAGUUUCAACAUGAAAUCAUUGCUUCCCUCAAAGUUCACCACCUUCCCAACAUUGACGAUGAUGGUGCUUUCACUGUUAGUACUAUUAUUCUCCAAUCUUUGUUUCCCUGUUUUCAACUUGGCUACAGCUUCAAAGAUUGAAUCCCAAUGGAGAGCUCUUCUUCAAUGGACGGCCGCCCUUGAAACACAAGAACUCCUUGACACCUGGACAUCAAAGACCAGUCCA